UACGUAGGGUGCGAGCGUUGUUCGGAGUUACUGGGCGUAAAGGGUGUGUAGGCGGUUGUUUAAGUUUGGUGUGAAAUCUCCCGGCUCAACUGGGAGGGUGCGCCGAAUACUGAGCGACUAGAGUGCGGGAGAGGAAAGUGGAAUUCCUGGUGUAGCGGUGAAAUGCGUAGAUAUCAGGAGGAACACCGGUGGUGUAGACGGCUUUCUGGACCGUAACUGACGCUGAGACACGAAAGCGUGGGUAGCAAACAGG
rnacentral:rRNA from 1 species